GGGAAGUCAAAAGCAUGUGCAAAGAAUAUAAGUUAACUAAGUCAGAAGAGGAAAUAAAUAAGCAGUUUUAAAGUAAAAGAAAGCUGCGAAGAAGAAUAAGAAGAAAUUGGGAAUUAUUUUCGUUAAGUUUUUGUUCCUGAAGCGGACUCAUUCCCUCACGGUUACGUGCAGCCAGCGAGUUUGACGGUGGAUUUUAUGGUGUUUCUGAGGAGAAGUGUGACGGAAGAAUAAAUCCAUCUGUGAAUGAAGAACCGUGGUGUCGUGUAUUAACUGGAGGGAGUGAUACCAUCUGUGGAACACAGAUACCCAGAGAGAAGCAGAGUUCCUCCAAAGAGACUGAAUCUUUGAAAAUGUAGAAACUAUGAUUUAGUUAUUUACUGCCAGUUAAUUUGGAAGUGAAACAGCUUUAGAGUAAUGAGAGCAAUGGCUACAUUUGUUCAUUGUUAGUAAAGGCAGUAGAAUAUUUUAUUGGCAGUCAAAAUACAUUUCUUAAAGAGUUUACUUAUUUGAAUUAAAAAUCUAAAAGGGAAGGGAUGUAAUAGAGUGAACUGUUGCCCCCCUGUGGUAAAAAUACAGAAGUGCCUGUUCUUGGUUGACCAACAUAUAAUGAAAGGAAGCUUGUAGACCACUAAGGAAAAACAAUAGUUCUGAGUUGGUAUGUCCUGCUGUUCAAUAAAACUCGUAUUCACGUCCUUCCUUCCUGAUACUUUCAAAGAGCCUAACCCACAAUGUUCUUGAGCACCUUCAGAGGCAGAUAGCAUGUCUAAGUUGUAUUCUUUACCAGAGUGUUAAUGUGACUGGACAAUUUCAGAUAACUGUGAGAUGUGAACACCAAGGUAUCUGAAAUUGUCUACUCUCUCCACUGGAAGACUUCCAUUCUUCGCCAGAUCGUCUGCUACUCUCAGUGGUAACUCGGCCUCCAUGUGUGAACUCAAGUUUGUUUUUUCCUAGUGUUAAUGUUUAUCUCCCUAUGCUGCAGUCUCCGCUAAGGACCUAUACUUCUAUGCUUCCAUGGAUCACAGGAUAACCAUCCUACUAGUCAUUCCUGCAACAUCUGUGGCUGCUGAAUGACUCACCUGUUAGCGUGUUAUCAGAUCUUGGGAUUUUUAGAGAUUAGAUGAAACUUUAUGAAACCCUUGGGUGGGUUCCUCUGGGAAAUUGAGUUUUCAGUAGCACUGCACUGACAGAAGUUGCAUGUUACAGAUACAAUAAAGGGGAAUGAAAGUAAGGAUAUGAGCAUAAAUAUACCAUAUACACAUAUAUAAAUACAGAAUAUAUAAUAGGGAUAAAUAGGAAUACCAGUGGAUUGCACAUUUGAGUGAGUCUAUUUGGGAAAACUGAUGAUGUUGGUGAUCAGGAGUUGCUCGCCAUAAAGUCGUCACAGGAAGAUUGGAGAGAUGUGCUGCAGGGCUCACAGUAUCCAGUCAUGCUUUGGACAAAUCACAAGAAUCUUGCCCAUCAGCAAACCGCAAAAUAAUUAAACUCCCAUCAAGUCAGAAUUGAAGUCUGAAGGCCAACAAAGAUACCCAACAGAUUUACUUUGCCAAGUGGGUCAUCACUGUUAAGAGGCUUGACCGAGCCAUGGGCGCCAGGUCCUGUCAAGCAGCCACCGGAAGUAACCUGGUACAUACCUGAUCGCCCAGCCCCAAACACCAAGAACCACCAACGCAUCAACGCCUGAGGGCAUCAGCCUCCAUACUUUGGAGGGCUUGAGUGGAAUGCCUCCCCUGCACCCUGGUGACACACCUGCAAGCCAAGGCACUGCAUGUGUGGGUGGGUGUGGUGGAGCGAGAAGAGGGAGGCAGUCGGGGAUGGGGAGAGAAGGAAGUGAAGGGCAAGCAGCCCCUCCUUGGGGCCAGCUCCCCCGCUGACCCCAGUAGGCACCACCGCCCUCUGGAACCCACCAAGGCGAGGGGGCCCAGGCCCAUCCAGACCAGAGCCCAUGGCAGCAGCACCGCCAAGCCCCACAGGACCCGGGGCAGCCCACCUGAACCCACCACAGGGGAAACUGUACCCACCCCAUCAUUCAAUCAACUCCCAGGCUACACAAGACAAUAGACACCCAGGUUAAGUCUAUUCUCCACCUCUCCUAUGUCUCUUCCCCACCUGCAGAAUGAACUCCUGCAAGGAGGAAACAGCCUCCCUGCCAGUUGAAGAGCCCCCCAGUUUGCCGAUGCACCAGAGGCCCCCUGCGCCAGGGCUGAGUCCCCAUGUACCCACCCGCCCACAACCUCGGCGACACACCAAUUAGGACCAAAGCCCCCGAGGCACAGCCAGAGUGCCAGCACGGAGGCGCAUCACCCCCAGAACUCCUAAUUUAUUUUUGGCAAGACCAUCAUUUUUAUAUCAGCGACCCUUCCCAUGAGUGAGAUGGGUAGAGAUUUCCAUCUAGCCAAAUCACCUUCUACUUUCUUUAGAAGUGGGAUGUGGUUUAAUUUAGUUAAAUCUGCAAGCUUAGACAUUAACACCUAAAUAUUUAAUAUUUCCAGAUUGUAGUGGGAUAGAAGAAGAAUUAUGGAAAGAGCAAUUAAUUGGAAGAACUGUAGAUUUUGACCAGUUAAUUGAAUCUGAAACUCUUGAAAACAAGUUUAUUAGUGUAAUUAGCUGAGAAAGGUUGGUUUGUGAGUUUUGAAGAAAAAGAAACACAUCUGCAUAGAGACUGAUUGUAUGUUCUACUUACUUGCAUUUUAUGCCCUUAAUUGUUGUAGCCUGUCUAAUUGCUGUGGUUUGAUAAAAUUGCAAACAGUGGGCAUCCUUGCCUGGUGCCCCUCAGGACACAGAAGCUGGAGGAUGUUUGGUCAUUUGUUCUGACACAAGCUGUUGCGGAAUUCUAUAUAAUUCUAAUAUUUUUAGCCAGUUUAUGAAAGAGUUUCCAAAACCAAAUUUGUGUAAAGUUGCAAAUAAAAAUUUCCAGUUAACUCUGUCAAACUCUUUUUCUGCAUCUAGAGACAAUAUUGUAGUUUCAAUGUUUUCACUGCAUGAGUAGUCUAUUAAAUCAAGCAAUCUACGUGUA